rnacentral:sRNA from 1 species
UCGGUUCCGGCAGGCCCACGAUCCGUGGCCCU